CGGGCCAGAAAUGGUCAACUCUUUGGACACUCGUGAACAGGUGGUGCAUGGUUGUCGUCAGCUCGUGUCGUGAGAUGUUGGGUUAAGUCCCGCAACGAGCGCAACCCUCGUUCUAUGUUGCCAGCGCGUAAUGGCGGGAACUCAUAGGAGACUGCCGGGGUCAACUCGGAGGAAGGUGGGGAUGACGUCAAAUCAUCAUGCCCCUUAUGUCUUGGGCUUCACGCAUGCUACAAUGGCCGGUACAAAGGGCUGCAAUACCGUAAGGUGGAGCGAAUCCCAAAAAGCCGGUCUCAGUUCGGAUUGAGGUCUGCAACUCGACCUCAUGAAGUCGGAGUCGCUAGUAAUCGCAGAUCAGCAACGCUGCGGUGAAUACGUUCCCGGGUCUUGUACACACCGA
rnacentral:rRNA from 1 species